rnacentral:lncRNA from 10 species
CAAGCAUAAGUUUUUUCCCCAGUAACUAUAACGGGAAGGAGACAAAUGGGUAAUUUGAGGAGGCCCACUGCAUGUGGAUGCUCAGGUAUCCCCUCCCCUUCUGCUGUCUGCCAUAGUGGAAACAGCCUGAGGCCCUUGCCAGAUAUAGAUGUUCAAACCUGGACUUUCCAGCCACCAGAAUCGUCAGCCAAAUAAACUUCUUUUCUUUCUAAAUCAUCCAGUUUCAGGUAUUCUGUUAUAGCAACACAAAACUGACUAGAGCAAUUAUUUCCUUUUGCAUUUUGUGAUUUUGACCAUGAGCUUGUAUUUUUUUUAGAAUUUAUUGAUGAGAAGCCAUCGAGGCCUGUGUUGAAGAUGGGUACUUCUAGAAUAGUGACAAGGUUUUUCCAUAUUGCCCAGGCUGGUCUUGAACUCCUGAGCUCAAGUGAUCUUGCCUGCCUUGGCCUCCCAAAGUGCUCAGAUUACAGGU